UGGUUCUCCCCGAAAGCUAUUUAGGUAGCGCCUCGUGAAUUCAUCUCCGGGGGUAGAGCACUGUUUCGGCUAGGGGGCCAUCCCGGCUUACCAACCCGAUGCAAACUGCGAAUACCGGAGAAUGUUAUCACGGGAGACACACGGCGGGUGCUAACGUCCGUCGUGAAGAGGGAAACAACCCAGACCGCCAGCUAAGGUCCCAAAGUCAUGGUUAAGUGGGAAACGAUGUGGGAAGGCCCAGACAGCCAGGAUGUUGGCUUAGAAGCAGCCAUCAUUUAAAGAAAGCGUAAUAGCUCACUGGUCGAGUCGGCCUGCGCGGAAGAUGUAACGGGGCUAAACCAUGCACCGAAGCUGCGGCAGCGAACGUAUCACCCAAGACAACUUUACGGAGUUGACGAUUGACGGAGCGAAGCGACGUCAAAGCGUUCAUUAAAGUCGAGUUGGCUUAGGGAUACGUUCGUUGGGUAGGGGAGCGUUCUGUAAGCCUGUGAAGGUGUGUCGUGAGGCAUGCUGGAGGUAUCAGAAGUGCGAAUGCUGACAUAAGUAACGAUAAAGCGGGUGAAAAGCCCGCUCGCCGGAAGACCAAGGGUUCCUGUCCAACGUUAAUCGGGGCAGGGUGAGUCGACCCCUAAGGCGAGGCCGAAAGGCGUAGUCGAUGGGAAACGGGUUAAUAUUCCCGUACUUGGUGUUACUGCGAAGGGGGGACGGAGAAGGCUAUGUUGGCCGGGCGACGGUUGUCCCGGUUUAAGCGUGUAGGUGUGUGUUCCAGGUAAAUCCGGUUCACUUUAACACUGAGGCGUGACGACGAGGCACUACGGUGCUGAAGCAACAAAUGCCCUGCUUCCAGGAAAAGCCUCUAAGCAUCAGGUAACACGAAAUCGUACCCCAAACCGACACAGGUGGUCAGGUAGAGAAUACCAAGGCGCUUGAGAGAACUCGGGUGAAGGAACUAGGCAAAAUGGUGCCGUAAC
rnacentral:rRNA from 1 species